AGCCUACGGGAUGCAGCAGUGGGGGAUAUUGCACAAUGUGGGGAACCCUGAUGCAGCGACGCCGCGUGGGUGAAGGAGUGCUUCGGCAUGUAAAGCCCUAUCGGCAGGGGAGAGGCAAGACGGUACCUGACUAAGAAGCCCCGGCUAACUACGUGCCAGCAGCCGCGGUAAUACGUAGGGGGCGAGCGUUAUCCGGAUUCACUGGGGGUAAAGGGAGCGUAGACGGGCAUGCAAGCCAGGGGUGAGAGACCGGGGCCCAACCCCGG
rnacentral:rRNA from 1 species